GCGGGGAGAGCUUUGUUGGUGAUGUUGCCCGGCUUCGGACCACUCGGCGUGGAGGCGCGUGCUCCCGUGUUCUAACUUGUCGGGGCGGGGACGCAGCAAGGUUCGUCGGGUUGCUGCGACGGUGCAGUGAUGCUGCAACAAAUGAUCUUCACUCGUCCGUGACGCGGAUGCCGCCGCGUGGAGGGACUUGAGGUUGCGGAAGCGGGAUUUAAAGGCUGUAGGGAAGCGUCACCAUGAUGCACGGUGUUGAGCUUAGCGAUCUGCUCAAAUUCCACGAAAUCAGUCGCCUCUGUGCGGAUGGUGUCCACGGUGGACAUCCCACCUCCUACUUUCACACUUUGGAAUAAGUCUUGGUUAUGCAUCUUGCUGCUGAAAAGGAGAUGACGUUCCAAUGGCUGCCUCUUCCCAACAAAUGUAUUGUUGUGCAAAUGUCAACUGUUUGCUAUCUUGGUCUGGUAAGUGCCGAUGUCUUCUUUUUGAAGCAUUGGUUUCACUUCAUUUUAUACGGUGUGGCUCCUAAUGUUGCAUUAGAAUCGAAUUGUAAGUGGAAGCCUUUAUCAUGAUGUAGAAAUAUAUCAUUCUUCUUCAUAAGAGGAUAUGAAUAUGACGCUAUGAGUAACAGAUGUAUAGGAUAUGAUUAAAAGGCACUAGGCUGUUAGUAACAGUAAUUAAUUUGAUAAGUCGGACCAGGCCAAUGGUAGUUAAUUUGAUAAGAGAAAUUGCUACAGGUAUUGAGGCAAUUUGUUUUCUUUCUCCACGGAGAACUUAGCAGUUCAAAUUCAGAUCAGUUGAGUAUUUGCUUAAUGUGACUAGAGAGGAAGAAUCUUCAAGCAACUUGAAGUUCAGUACAUCAUCAUCUUUAGGUUCCUGCAACUUCCCCAGUUUCUGCAGCCAUUAUUAUUUUAAAUAAAACUGAGAUUUUAUCAUGAUAUUAGCCUCAACCCUUACAUGGAUUUCGUCAUAUGUCAGUCUUGGUACUGAAAAAAUUGGCCAUCUAUAUCUCAUAUUUCUUUUUAAUUUCUAUUAAAUGUGACCUGAACCAUUCACACAGACUUCUGAUUUAUUUGAUGGCCGUGUAUAUGUUUUUCUCUUUUUCUCACCGUCUUUUCAGUUGCACGCGAUUAUUUUCCACAUUCAGAAUUUCUGGCCAACUAUCGCCUUAUUUUGCAACAUUAAGACCUUAUAUCAAACUUUUUUCAGUGAUGCAUGCCAUACAUUGUCAGAAAUACAUGUAAAGAAGCGUCAACUUUUGCAGUGAUUCUAUUGCAGGGUGGCACUACCACUGCCAAAGUAUAGAAGAACUGGGCUCCUCCUGCACAGUUUCGGUCUUAGGUGAAUCUUCUGGGGUUCAACUGGUGAUCCGAGAGGAUGGGCAUGAACAUAGUUCUUUGUCUCCAGAGCCACACUGGGAGCGGAAGCAUACUACUUUGUAUAGUAUAAACAAGAUGCUACCUCCAUAGGAACGAUAAUUAGUGCUGAAAUGCGAGCUUUUGCAUUAAGCAACAUUAUUGACAUUGUUGUUCAGCAAAAGGCACGAAAAAGAGUAAAAGCAAAGAAGAUUUCUCAGCAAUAGACGCUGGUGUAGAAGUUAUGUAGUAUUGUAGUUUCAGUUUGAUCUACAAAAUGAGUUAUUACCCGAAUAUCUUGCUGUAUGUAACAUAGUUUCCAUUUAGUAUGUUUGGAGAGUAUGUAAUGCAGCUGCAAGUAGUGCUAUCAUCAAUAAUGUAGCUACAAGUAGUGGUAUCAUGUAUAAUGCAUGUAGUGUAUAUAAUGAAAAACAUUAAUCAUGUUUA